rnacentral:rRNA from 1 species
UACGUAGGGUGCGAGCGUUGUCCGGAAUUAUUGGGCGUAAAGGGCGCGUAGGCGGUGCGGUAAGUCUGCGGUGAAAUCUCCCGGCUCAACUGGGAGGCUGCCGUGGAAACUGCCGUGCUUGAGUGUGGGAGAGGUGAGUGGAAUUCCCGGUGUAGCGGUGAAAUGCGUAGAUAUCUGGAGGAACACCGGUGGCGAAGGCGGCGUCCUGGACCAACACUGACACUGAGGAGCGAAAGCCAGGGGAGCAAACGGG